UACGGGGGGGGCAAGCGUUGUUCGGAAUUACUGGGCGUAAAGGGCUCGUAGGCGGCCAACUAAGUCAGACGUGAAAUCCCUCGGCUUAACCGGGGAACUGCAUCUGAUACUGGAUGGCUUGAGUUCUGGAGAGGGAUGCGGAAUUCCAGGUGUAGCGGUGAAAUGCUUAGAUAUCUGGAGGAACACCGGUGGCGAAGGCGGCAUCCUGGACCGACACUGACGCUGAGGAGCGAAAGCCAGGGGAGCAAACGGG
rnacentral:rRNA from 1 species